GAAAUGCGAUAAGUAAUGUGAAUUGCAGAAUUCAGUGAAUCAUCGAAUCUUUGAACGCAGAUUGCGCCCGCCAGCACUCUGGCGGGCAUGCCUGUUCGAGCGUCAUUUCAACCCUCAGAACCCCUUGCGGGAUCUGGCGUUGGGGAUUGGCAUCCAGCCAGCCCCGAAAUCUAGUGGCGGUCCCUCCGCGACCUCCCCUGUGCAGUAGUGAUACCUCGCAGCGGGACAGCGGUCUGACCACGCCGUAAAACCCCCAACUUCUCAAGGUUGACCUCGAAUCAGGUAGGAAUACCCGCUGAACUUAAGU
rnacentral:misc_RNA from 1 species